AAUAUUGCACAAUGGGCGCAAGCCUGAUGCAGCGACGCCGCGUGGGGGAUGACGGCCUUCGGGUUGUAAACUCCUUUCGCUAGGGACGAAGCUUUUUGUGACGGUACCUAGAUAAGAAGCACCGGCUAACUACGUGCCAGCAGCCGCGGUAAUACGUAGGGUGCGAGCGUUGUCCGGAAUUACUGGGCGUAAAGGGCUCGUAGGUGGUUUGUCGCGUCGUCUGUGAAAUUCCGGGGCUUAACUCCGGGCGUGCAGGCGAUACGGGCAUAACUUGAGUACUGUAGGGGUAACUGGAAUUCCUGGUGUAGCGGUGAAAUGCGCAGAUAUCAGGAGGAACACCGAUGGCGAAGGCAGGUUACUGGGCAGUUACUGACGCUGAGGAGCGAAAGCAUGGGUAGCGAACAGGAUUAGAUACCCUGGUAGUCCAUGCCGUAAACGGUGGGCGCUAGGUGUGAGGGUCUUUUCACGACUUUCGUGCCGUAGCUAACGCAUUAAGCGCCCCGCCUGGGGAGUACGGCCGCAAGGCUAAAACUCAAAGGAAUUGACGGGGGCCCGCACAAGCGGCGGAGCAUGUGGAUUAAUUCGAUGCAACGCGAAGAACCUUACCUGGGCUUGACAUACACCGGAUCGGGCUAGAGAUAGUCUUUCCCUUUGUGGCUGGUGUACAGGUGGUGCAUGGUUGUCGUCAGCUCGUGUCGUGAGAUGUUGGGUUAAGUCCCGCAACGAGCGCAACCCUUGUCUUAUGUUGCCAGCAUUUGGUUGGGGACUCAUGAGAGACUGCCGGGGUCAACUCGGAGGAAGGUGGGGAUGACGUCAAAUCAUCAUGCCCCUUAUGUCCAGGGCUUCACACAUGCUACAAUGGUCGGUACAACGCGCAGCGACACUGUGAGGUGGAGCGAAUCGCUGAAAGCCGGCCUUAGUUCGGAUUGGGGUCUGCAACUCGACCCCAU
rnacentral:rRNA from 1 species